GACGUAGGGUGCGAGCGUUGUCCGGAUUUAUUGGGCGUAAAGAGCUCGUAGGCGGCUCGUCGCGUCAGCUGUGAAAACCCGCGGCUUAACCGUGGGCUUGCAGCUGAUACGGGCGGGCUAGAGUUCGGUAGGGGAGACUGGAAUUCCUGGUGUAGCGGUGAAAUGCGCAGAUAUCAGGAGGAACACCGGUGGCGAAGGCGGCUCACUGGCUCAUUUCUGACGCUCAGGCGCGACAGCGUGGGGAUCAAACAGG
rnacentral:rRNA from 1 species